CUGGAAUUCGUCAAGUUCAAGAAGAGUCCAUGUUCUUUACCCGUCUGGAUGGUCACGAAUCAGGUGCCUUUGCCUCACCUAUAAUGAUGGUUUUAUGUUGAGAUCUUCACCCAUUAGGUUUCUGAGAAUUUUCAGCGCUUUUAAUUGGGGUGGUGUUCUGAGUUUCAGAAAAGGGGAACUGGAUUCCAGCUAGGGAGCUUCAAUUGAGUUUUCUAGGAGAUAAUAGCAAUUUGUUAUCAAGCGAGUGAGUUUAUACCCUAAAGUUCAGAAAGGGGUCCAUUUACUUGCUUGUGGAUGCAAAGAUGGGGAAGAAUGGGAAG
rnacentral:misc_RNA from 1 species